UGUCAUACCCACUUUUGGUAUAGUUUGCUAUUGGUAAAAACAAAAAAAAAAAUCAAGGGAAGGCGAGCAAAUGGUUUGGGAUCUGACAGUCCACUUCACAUCCCUCUCAAAAUCACUUAAGAAGUACCUAAACAGUGGGAGAUUAAGUUUGAGUUUCCCUUUGUGUAUGGAAUGGACCCAAACUUACGUAGAUCUACUUUAUUGGUGUGAAAGGGGAAAAAAAAAUAGGAAAGAAAAAUGUUAAAAGUGAGUUUGAAAGGGAACGAUGACAAGAGAAGGAAAAUAAAGAAGAACACAACAAAACACCCCACACAGGAUCGGCUGGAGCCUGGAAUUAAGUGCCUUGCAGGAGCCGAACAGCUCAGCCAUUUGAUUUGCGAGUUACGCAAUAUUUGUAGAUCUGCAAAACCAGCGAUUAUCUGGCGUGAUCGGCUCCGCAUGCAAAUUUUGGGCUGAGAAAUAGGAUGUGCAGAUAAUCCAACGCCGACCACCUCCUCUGUGUGCGCCCGGCCUGCCGCGGCUUCUCCAGCCCCACCGAAAUGACCACUGGCGGCAAUAAAUAAAUCCGAGCUCCUCCGCCGUUUAUGAUCAGCUGAAAUCCCCUUCGCCUCGUACGUCAUUAUUGCAUCGCAUUUUACAACAUCUCCGCUUGUGUUCGCGCUCAGCAACCAGCCACCUCUCAUCUUCCAUGUGCAUACAGACAGACAGAUGUGAGCCUUUAUGGUGUAGGAUGUAUAGAUUUGUCCGCAGCCCGCACGGCGCAGCCCCGCAGUGCAUCAACAGGGCUCGGAGGCACAUAUAGAUCAACACACGCAUCCGGGGUGCGCACAGCUCACAUGUGAGUGCACAUACAUGUGCGAGUGCACCCUAUAGACAUAUCUCCAGACACUUGAAGGCCGAACAUAUAGCUAUAAGCACACAUGUGCCGGCAGCAGCGCACAGCGGGACACCGGGGCUCGGCGGGGCCGGCUCUGCCGGGGGAGCUCCGGGCCCUGGCACCGGCCGGGGACACGGGAGGGCAGCCAGGGCAGGGUCCCCCCCGGGACACCAGCUGCGGGAGCCCCCCGGGAGCCGCCGGCCGCCGCCGCCGACGGUAGAUGGCAGCAGACGGCGGGGAAUGGGCCGAGCCCCGCGGCGCGGCGGCACCGGGGGACGGGACGGCGCUGCGGGGGGUGCCGCGCUUCACCCCUUGAUUUCCUUAUUUUCUUAAAUAAGCAAGCAGGGCAGGAUGCUGGGAGGGAAGUCCCGCCCGGAACGUAGCGGACACCCCCCCACACACCGGGGGUGCUCGGAGUUUUCUCGGUCACCUCCCGCCGGAGCGGGCUGCAACGGGUCAAUAGACCUGCCCGCACCGAGCUGCGUGGCUGCCACAGGUGGUUGGCCACGCAGGAUGUGGAGGAAUCGUCAUAAAAGCUUUUUUUUCAAGUAAGAUUUCUAAUUUUUCUUCUUCCGAAGGGAAAAGAACCCAAAAAAACGUCAAACAAAACACACCAAAUCAAACGACCACGGAGAGACUCAGGGAACAGGCGUUUGAACCGGCAUUAUUUUUUUCCCCUGUGCUUUAUGAAAAAUGUAACAAGUCCGGGAAGAAAUAGCUUUAAAAAAUGACUUUCUGUUUAUUUCCACGGCUUGCGAUCAUUUAAUCUUGCCCACACCAUAUUCAGGCGCAGUUAGUUUAUGUGAGAUAAAUCGUCACGUCAUAAAAUGGUUUAUGUGUAAGUAAUGAAUCUCGUCUUACUCAGUCUUGCUUCACAUACAACAGCUCUUACAUCAUCUUAUUUAAAAAUCACCUCGUAACAGUAGCAAUUAGUACUAUAUUUCAAAACACACUAACCCUUGAAAUAGUGAAAAAAACACCCUUAAAAUGACGGGCACCUCCUUACAAAUAUUUUCCUAAAAGCGAAGACAAGCGUUAGGGAAUCAGCCAGAGGAAAGGGGGAUUUGCACAUAACCUGGUGUGGAAAAGCACCGACACACCGUGGGGUGAAACCCAAGCCCGUGUUCCGGCCGUAAAGCCGUAAAACCCCGUUAACACGGCAGAACGCAAUUAAAUACAAUGAGGUUUAUUGCAUCGCAACGUCAGCUUCAUUUGGGAGUUUCACAAGGGGGAAAAAAAUACAAUAAGAUCGCUGCGCUCUGGGUUGGCUUCAUUCUUAUUAGUUUUUUUUCCUUCCCAUCUCUCUAUUUUUUUCUUUCCCCCCCCCCCUUUUUUUAACUAAUUUCCAGAAUCUUAUUUCCGAAGACCGCCACGAAGUGCCCUCUCCGAAGAAACCACCCACAUAAUAAUGACCCUGGAGAGCAGCGCAAAACCCAACCGGCUUCCACACGAACUUUGCCAAAUGACUGGGCUCGCCUGCAGCCAGGGAAACUGGCAAGAGAUGCUGCGAGGGGGGGAAAUAAAACACGACAACUACCCACAAAGGGUUUGGGAUUUUUUUAAAGGCAGUGCCUAACAGCCUCCGUCACCGCGCUACUGCAAAAUCCUUCAUUCCCACUCUACUAUCUCCAGGUGACCUUACAGGCUUUAUUUUUUCUCCUUAUUCCGUUAUUUUAAUUUUCUUUCUCUUUCUUCUUUCCUUUAUUAUUUUCUUCCUCUGUUUCAUCCUCACACUCUUUCUUCCUUGCUUUCUUAUUUUUUUUUUAUUUUCUUUCUCUCUUUCCAUUUCCUUCUCUCAGUUUCUUUCUUUACCAUUUUUCCAUUCUUCUUUCUCCCCCUCUCUCCUUUGCUCACAGUUCCGUUACACUUUUUCGGCAAAAUCGUCACUUAAACAGAUUUCCAGCACCCCUGAUUUCUCCCAGUGCCUCCCUUCUUCAUCACCCCACCCUUUCAUUUCUAUUCCCCCCCCGGGUAGAGGAGAGAGGGAGAUGGGGAAUGGAAUAGAACAGGCAGCUUGACAAAUGCAUUUUCUCAAGGAAAAAAAAAAAAUAAAUGAAGAGAAACAGAUAUUAUUCCCUUACCUUUUG